AUUGCUUUCUUGAUUUCUUUUUCCACUAGUUCAUUGUUGGCGUAUAGAAAUACUACUGAUUUUUGUAUAUUAGUUUUGUGUCCUGCAACUUUACUGAAUUCAUUUACCAAAUCUAACAAUUUUUUUGGCAGAGUCGAGGCUUUUCUAGAUGUAAGAUUAUAUUCUCAGUGGGGAGCGACAAUUUGGAAGCCUUUUAUUUAUUUCUCUUGCCUAAUUGCUCUGGCUAGACUUCCUCUGUUUCUUUGGUUUCUAUCUUUUUUAUUUCUCUGGGCAUUUCAUACAUAGUUAUCUUUAUAUCCUGUAGCCAGUAAUUCCAAUAUCUGAAGUCCCUUGAGGGUCUAAAUCUGUUUAUUGUCUCUGUUGACAGGGUCUUGCUUUGCUGCCCAGGUUGGAGUGCAAUGACGUGAACAUGACUCACUGCAGCCUUGACCUCCCGGGCUCAAGUGGUUCUCCCACCUCUGUCUACUGAGUAGUAGGCACUACAGGCCCGCACCACUAUGCCCGGCUAAUUUCUCUACAUUACUUUCAAUACCCAAUACAAUAACUACACAUCACUUCAUUCGCGUGGAUGCAACACAGUACUUGGCACAUGGCAAAUUCGUUUUGUCUUUUAGAACUUCGUGGGAAUUUUUCACCCUGAAUAUUUUCUAUCUCCGUUGAAUCCACCAAUGCAGCACCCAUGGAUAUGGAAGGCUAACUGUAAUUUGUUUUACUAUUUAUUUGUAAAUCAGCUUAAAAAUAGGAUGGAAAAAUUACAUUCUCGUGUAUAUGUAAGCUUGGGAAGCUCUUUAAAACCACUCUACCAGGAUCACUUGCUUCUUCCCUUGAGAUUGUGAAUUCCUCAGUUGCAGUCCUGGGUACCAAGUUUUACCUGCACAAGGAGUUUCUUCAAAGAUUGUAGUUCAAAGAUGGAAAACUAAAGGCAUUUUUCUGUAGUUCAUUCAGUUGAGCACGACUGGUUUUCCACAUCCAGUAGUGUGAGUAUUCCUAAGAAAAUAUGUGCUCAUGCACCUUUUUUGAGAAGGGGUUGGUAGUGUUUCUUAGAGGAUAAUUUAUAGGAAUAGUUAGCAGUGAAGAUAUCAGAACCUGUAAUUGUUUCUUCCUCCUACACAUGAAAUAAGGUAAAUGAGAUGUUAGGACUGGGCCUCCAUAAUAGAGAAGGGUGAUUUAAAGCACUUAUCCAGGGGAGGCACAUGGUCUUUUUAAAGCUAAAAUAGAAUUGUGUGUUCAAAGAGCAUUUCAAGGCCUGCCCUCAGUCUGUUGGAAGGGCAAAGUCCCUUAUUAUCAGAGCCUUGGUGUCUCAGUACAGUCUUGCUUUCAGCUGAGUGUGGUCUACUGGAAAACCACAAACGCUGAAAGAGUCCUGUUCCUCAGACAAAACAGACUAGACAGUACAAUUAUCUAAUCACUACCAAAGUAACAGCAGAUAAACCUCCGAUUAUAUUCUGGUAAAGACACAUGGGGCUUCAAAGUUAUUUGGAAUGGAUUUGAGGGUUCUAAGCACCACCUAGAUGACUUACUUAAAAGUAGCCUGGAUUGUGACCAUUUACAUUCCUGACAACCCUGGCAAAUAGUGAGCCAGUACCUAUUCAAAUAAUGCAGGCUCCAAAAGUGCCUAGAUACUUGCGAAUACAAUAACACAAAGGGAGACUACCACUUUAACCUCACAGAGUAGUUGCCAGUAUUCAGUGAUAGUAAAACUGCCUUGUACAGCAUCUGGGAAAUAGUCUGUAUGCACCUUAUGGAGACAUCAAAAGUCGGCAAGGACACUGCCGACUUAAAUUUUUUUUUUAAAGCCCAGCAUAAUACAAAUAAAAAACUUAAUUUGGAGAGAAAUACUUAACAAAAGGUUAAUAUCCUCUAAAUACAUAAAUCAAAAGGAAAAAGAUGCAUUUUUCAGCCUGGUGGAUCAUCUUUCUUUUCUUUACUGCUCAGCAUCCCCUUC
rnacentral:lncRNA from 1 species